rnacentral:rRNA from 1 species
ACGAACGCUGGCGGCGUGCCUAAUACCUGCAAGUAGAACGCUGAAGAGAGGAGCUUGCUCUUCUUGGAUGAGUUGCGAACGGGUGAGUAACGCGUAGGUAACCUGCCUUGUAGCGGGGGAUAACUAUUGGAAACGAUAGCUAAUACCGCAUAACAAUGGAUGACACAUGUCAUUUAUUUGAAAGGGGCAAUUGCUCCACUACAAGAUGGACCUGCGUUGUAUUAGCUAGUAGGUGAGGUAAUGGCUCACCUAGGCGACGAUACAUAGCCGACCUGAGAGGGUGAUCGGCCACACUGGGACUGAGACACGGCCCAGACUCCUACGGGAGGCAGCAGUAGGGAAUCUUCGGCAAUGGGGGCAACCCUGACCGAGCAACGCCGCGUGAGUGAAGAAGGUUUUCGGAUCGUAAAGCUCUAUUGUAAGUCAAGAACGGGUGUGAGAGUGGAAAGUUCACACUGUGACGGUAGCUUACCAGAAAGAGACGGCUAACUACGUG